CACCAUAAAGUAAAACGGGAAUGAUAAGCGACUUACGUACUUCAAGUAAAUACAUUUUGAAAAUGAUGUUUUCCGUCAAAAGGAUGUUAUAAAGAAAGGUCUUAAAAGAAAAUGGUUAACUACUUUUGGUUUGAUGGAGCAACGGUAACCUUUAUAAACUACUAUAUAAUAGCCACGUUCAGUUGUAGGUAUAAGAACUAGAUCUCUUGGUAUUCGAUUAAUCGUCUAACCGAAUUAACCGGAGAGAGCAUUCGAAUAAUAAUAUUCGGGUUACAGUAUCCGGAUAGUCGUAAGUUGUCAACUAUUCGAUUACCGGAGCAACUAUUCGAUUCGUCGCUAUGUUACGACUAUUCGAUAGUAUUACACGGUUAACAUUCAUACGAACGGUUACAAACCGGAUAUUCGAUUAAUCGGUUUUCGGGUUAUACGAAUAAUUUUAAGAGCCCUAAUAUGAACCGUUAACUUGAUAUUCGUUAAUAAGGACCCAAACAAGUUUUAUCCACCUUACUUCCCCUUAAAUGAGAUUUCGACUGGGAGCCAAGUGUUUUAUGUAAUAAUUUCAUAUGACUCGACAAUAGUACCAGAUGAUAAUAUACAGACGACGAAAUUCCUAAAAAUUAUAUUUAUGGACUUAUGACAAUUAUAUAAUUGAAGACUUGCAGUACUCAACUCAAGAAUUUUAUGAGUCACCAUUAUGCAUUACGUAUUUAGGCAGUGUCUACCAAACGUCAGUCGCACACGUUUCAUCGCUUCUGAGACCUUAUCAAAUAUACCUACUGUGCGCAAUACUAACUAUUUAAUAUGUUUAUCCACAUGGUGACCCAUAAUUUAUUUAUGCUGAAAUUUAUAAUUAAAUAUUUUUUUAUUCCCGACUAUUUUCGUUCACCUUCAGGCAGCCUUGUCAUACACGUCUACAGCGCUUACAUAAAUACUAAGAACUUUGAUAGCCUCAUUUGACAAAGAAGCGAUUCUUGGAACCCGCGGCCCACUGCUGGAAAGCAUGCAAAUAUGCAAGGCACCCAUUAAAAACUCCACCGACCGACUCUAACUACAUUAACUAAUACUCCAAGCAAGCGGGAUUGGCGCGGCCGAGGGCGCGAGCCAAGUGGGCGCAGCAAAUCAAACGUGUUAAUUGUGGAUUGUGACGAAAAGGGGACGGUGGUGGACACGACGACAACGCAAGUGUCCACAGCUCAAAGUUUGUUAUUACAGCUGUGUGCAUAAAACGCUCGACGCGUUGGCGAUAUGAAUCGUACACAUGUGCUGACAUGUUUUAGCUAUUGGAGCUCCUGGCUGUUGGAGUUUUUCAUCAUAAAAUGUUGUUAUUUAUUGAGUUAAUAAAUUAAAAUGCAAGUUGUGUGCAGCGUGUGUCAACACUCCGAAAAAGCGGACAUUCCAACUCGUUUCGCAGCGGGCGGAUGCGCAUUGCACUUGCGGCACCAUUACGGUCGCUCGUCUUUACUCGACUCGCGGCGUCGUCCGCUCUGCCACACCAAUUGACCAAUUAAGAAGUUACGGAAUGUGCGAAGCGCCAAGAACACACCAAAAAUAAUGAUGGUGGGAGACGUGAAAAGUGCACGCUUGGUGGUGGUUGUGCGGUCGCGGGUGUUUAUGUGUUAACAUGCGGCAUUUUGUUGCUGGAAAUGCUACGAUGGAUCCACACUGAGAUUUUUUGUAUGCAAAGCCUAGCGCACAUUAAUUUAAAAGACAGAAAGGGAACGACGCACUUACAAAUGGGCAAAUAUAAAGAAUGAAAUAAGUAAGAAAGUGCUAGGGUUCGGGCGGAACGGAUGAAUAUGUGUAUCCACGAUUGCGAAGAAAAUAAUAUAUAUAAUCACGUUAGAUUAGAUUGUAUUGCUGUUCCCCAGAGGAGAAUCACAAUAAACGAUGAAAGACGGUCCUCUUUGUGAAUUCCGGGAUCAGGAUCCGACAAAGCGCCCUAAACCAACUACAAAUCUGCAUAGAUUUUUCACUUCUAUAUCCACUAUUUCGCGUGGUUGUUCGAAAAAUUGAGUUCCGAGAAAUCUUUGUAUUGAUCUCGCAAAGGCGAGACAUUCAAGAUGAAAAUGGGUGUCAUUGAACUCAUCCUAAGGACAGGCCCACCAUUUCAGCAGUAAACUGCAAUAUGACAACGGUAAUCCUACAUGUUCCCAUGCUAACAUUAGUGAGACAGAUGUACCUUACCUUGCAAGAUCAUUAGCCUUACAAUUUCCCGCGGUUCCCCUGUGGCCAUGAGCCCAGACCAGUCUAAUUGAAAAGUUAAACGACGCCACUGUUAGUGAAGAUAAGAUUUGCUUAACCAACUUUGACCGCAUACUCAACGAACUCAAGGACAGUACCGCCGCUCUACUAUCAGAGCGAAUCGGCACCUCGCUAAAGGUUGAUACGCUCCGGAACAAUAUAUCCGCCAAUGACAUGGUUACAUCGGCUAAGAAGUCUCCUCAAAUAAUUAGUUCUCAGUCUAUUAAAUUUUCCAUUUUAAAGGCAAAUAGUUAUACAAAGAAGACCUCACAUUUUCGUUCUAAACACAAAACUAUAAUACCCUACGUGCAACAUUUGACAUGGGGUACAGUAAAGUACGAGCGAUCGAAUAAACAAUAAGACCCUCAUUUAUCGGUAAAUACGACUGUAUGUGUGCGCAAAGCAUACAAGCUUGCAAACAUGUCAACCAAAAAAUCAAAUUGUUCGCUUAAAUAACCAUUUCAGUGUUCGUUCUUUGUUUUUAUUGUUGUUGUUUUUUACUGUAAGUAUUAUUAUUUUUAAAACGUUACUCCUUAUCGCACGUCCAUCCGCAUGCCUCACAGUGAUGAUAAGCAUCGCGCGUUUGAACAGUCUCUGAUUGCCACCGCCGCGUUGGGUCAUAAGCGUACCCAGAACACAAGCGCGCAACACACUCUACGGACCCUAUGUUGGAGUUGUUAGUUACCACCAAAUACCCGGACACAGAACACACACUUGCAUGGCAAUAAAACAAAGCAUAAUUGUACAAAUUAAAAAAUAAGAAAAAUAAAGUAGACAAAAUGAAAAAAAGCGUGUUAACGCGUUGUAACCGCCAAGUCUACGCCACAAUUUAUACUCCACAAAUAGGCAAGGUAACCACGACGAUUGAGCUCUACGGCCUUCGCAAGUGUGCUGCGCAUGCGCAAUGAAGUUGGAAAACCAAUCAAGCGAUCAACCGAUCGACAGCAAUGCGCCACAAAACAAACGUUGCCGCUCGUGCAACAACAACAACACGCACACGCUCAUGUGCACAAACAAACGACUCGUCGUCGUUGCAUUGUCGUUGCAUUAAUGACUCUUUUGAUGGAUGCAGCCAAAAAGGUUGCGGCAUUUAGCGCCUACACUGUGGUGGGGAGUAAACACUAAAGACACUAGGCGUUGACAUUAAAUAAUUGAUGUUUCGGUAUUUUUGUGGCAAUACAAACAAAGCGCGCAGAGAACAACGCGAAGGCGGCGACGUAAUGUGUUUGGGCAAGUGCAUGUGACAAUAGAAGGCAUUGAUCGAUUGCGUUUGAUGCGAUUGGUAUAAUGAUUCAAUUGGUUGCUGAAUGGUCUGAGUUCUCAAUGUAACGCGAUAGAUGGCGCUGGUUACGACAAACUUUUAAGAAGAAUAAGGUGUGCGAUCAGGUUUCCAAGGAAGGACCUCUCCGAACCGUUCGAUACCAAACGAGGUUUCAGACAAGGCGACCCUCUAUCGACCGAUUUCUUUAAGCUAAUGCUUAGAAGAUAAUUCGCGCUGCAGAUCUUAACCGUACUGGCACUAUAUUUUUCAAGAGUCACCAAUUAUUGACCUAUGCAGACGAUAUCGAUGAUAUUUUCAAACCUGGAAAAAGAAGCUAAGCAAAUAGGUCUAAAAGUGAACGAGGGCAAAACGAAGUACACACCUCCUGUAAUCACGCAAGAGGUCUCAGCGAUUAGAAGAUCACGACACUGUUGGUGGUAACCCACCAUUUCGGGAUGGAAAACGACUUUGUCUAACUAAGUUCCAGCAUAAACACAAACAACGUCAUCAGCCAGGAAAUCAAUUGGAGGAUCACUCGUGUCAUCAUGUGCUAUUACGGGCUCAGUAGGCAAUUGAAAAGCAGAGCCCUCUCUCGUAAAGCCAAAGUACCGCUCUAUAAGUCACUCAUCAUACUCGUUCUGAUGCAUGGUGCGGAAGCAUGGACGAUGACCAACAAAGAAAAGCACUCCUUAGGACCGUUCGACAACAAAUGACCCGCUACACGGGGCGUGAGUACCGGGUUCGUUGGAGAAUCUUCGGCGAUAUGGACAUAAAAAUACAGCGGUUGCGCUGGCUUGGGUUUAUCGCCCGAAUGAAAGAAAACACUCCAUCGCGUAAGAUGUACGAUACGGUAAGGACGAUCGAAACUCAUAUAGAAGGCUCAAGCGGAUGUAGACCUGGCGAAGCUUGAAAUCCUCAACCGACGCCGUCGUGCGCAAUGCAAAGACGCCUGUCAAAGGCGUAUUGACGCUGUCAAAAUCGACAUCCGGUUGAGUGCCAAAUUAAUGACAAUUAAAGUGAUUUAUUUAUAUGAACAAUGACAGUUUUGAGGAAACAGCAAAUCUAAUAAGAAUUCGAAACAAGUAAUUUGCAGGCGAUGCAUUUAGUGAGGUGCCUUAAGGCCAGCUUUUGGUCAGAUGAAACCACAAAACGGAAAGAUCAAGAUCGUUAAUGAAUCAAACUGCUGUCCUCGUUCCUAAUACUGGGAUCGAUAUCUAACAGAGCUCGUUCUAAAGACCGCAAUGUAAUUCUCGGACCCUGUUGAUUAAAAAAUGCCAUAAAGAAGCAUUUUUAUGAUUUUCAUUAGAACUUGGGAUGUUAUGUUACUUAGAAUCGGUAUAAAGUCAAAUAUCUCAUAGUACAAUUAGUGUAAUUUCUAAAAUUAUUUAAAGAACGAACAGGCAAUUUUUAAUUUCCUGGACUAUCCAUUUCCGUUUUAACAAGCAAAUAAAGCUUUAACGCGAAUAAUGAUUUGAAGCUUCUCAAUUCUUUAAUGCUAUAUAAACAAUCGUUAGAUAAACGAAGCCAUUAUUUUUGCAUGUCUAUAAAAAGUUUAAUUAUUUUUAACUUAUCACAAUAAUCAGUGUUUCGUAAAAUGACAGAGUCAUAAAUCACGUCAUUUAAAGAACUACCGUUAUACCGAUAAGAACAAAAUGUUUAUUGCACAAUGAAAAUAGCACGUAUACCUAGUUAACUAACGAACUAACUACUACUACUAACUAGUAUAAAUAUGUAAUAAUAAUAUGUAUACAUUCAUAUGCCGAUAUUUAUUGGAACAGAUUCGUUGAAAACGUUAAAUUAAUUGAAAUGUUUAAACAUUCCAGGUUUUUUAGGAUUAUCAAACAUAUUUUUUGUCAAAAUAUUGUCAAUUGAUGAUGUUGAUGUGUUGCCCGUUGAGUUUAGUUCUGUUCGCAUUUUCUCGCGCUCAGUAUUCUGAAGAGCUGAUUUCCCACUGCAAAAUAAUAUAAUUUAAUUAGUAAUAGUAAUUAGGGUUAAAAGAUCUACUCUACUAUUUACUGUUACUUACAUUUAGUACCCUUCAGCGCACAAUUGUAUAUAUCCAAUUGGCAGGCGGUGGCGAUGGUGACACGAUAUUCGCCAUUCGAAAUACAUACUGGAUCAUAAAUCAUCGGACAGGGUUUCAAGCAUUCCUCUUUGUUCAAAUUGUCAGCCGCAUUGCCCACAACUUCAUAGAGGUUAUCUAUCAAUUUCGUACUGCACCAAUCGUUAUCGGUCUGUGCGAAGGCUGUAAAGAUAAUUUUAAAAAUUCCAUGAAUUUCAGAAAGUCUAAUGAGGUGGCGCGCGCACUUAGAAUGGUUACUCACGUUUUUUGAGCGAAGCGCGUUCCUUCCUGCGCUCGCAAUUAGUCACCUCCAGCAUACAGGGAUUGGAGAAUUGCUGAUAUUCAGCGCCGUCAAAGCCACAGAGGGGCGCAUACAAUAAGGGACAGAUCGAUGGGCAUGGCUGGUCGUCCUGGUUCUGGUCCGUAUCUAAAGGCGCCUCAUCAGCGAGUGUUGUUAUUGUAUUGGCAUUGCAGAAGGCCAACAAAGCGGCAAAUAUCCAGGAAUUUUUA